UUGAAGGUAGUUACUAAAUGAACCAAUGAACUAAUUAGCGUGACAACGUUAUAUAUUCUCCGAAGGUAGUUAAUUUUGUAUGGACAACAUUGUAAAUGGACGUGGAAAGGUGACCUUGUGCUUGAUUUUUUGGUAAAAUCUGCAUAUAACUUCUUGCUCUCUCGGUGUCUUCAGGAUCAAGCAUCAGUCGAGUCAAGAAAGGCCCUAAAAAUGAUUUGGAAGUGUGCAGCUGCAACAAAAGCUUUGGUCCUUUGAUGGCAGAAUAAUUUUCAUUUCAGUUGUAAAUAAAAUAAUAUAGAUUCAUUCAUUCAAAAUAAUUUUCAGAAUUUUACACAUUCAACUUCUCUCUCUCAAAAUCGCCAAAACCCUAG
rnacentral:lncRNA from 1 species